AGCGAACGCUGGCGGUAGGCCUAACACAUGCAAGUCGAACGGCAGCACAGUAAGAGCUUGCUCUUACGGGUGGCGAGUGGCGGACGGGUGAGGAAUACAUCGGAAUCUACUUUUUCGUGGGGGAUAACGUAGGGAAACUUACGCUAAUACCGCAUACGACCUACGGGUGAAAGCAGUGGAUCUUCGGACCUUGCGCGAUUGAAUGAGCCGAUGUCGGAUUAGCUAGUUGGCGGGGUAAAGGCCCACCAAGGCGACGAUCCGUAGCUGGUCUGAGAGGAUGAUCAGCCACACUGGAACUGAGACACGGUCCAGACUCCUACGGGAGGCAGCAGUGGGGAAUAUUGGACAAUGGGCGCAAGCCUGAUCCAGCCAUACCGCGUGGGUGAAGAAGGCCUUCGGGUUGUAAAGCCCUUUUGUUGGGAAAGAAAAGCAGCAGGUUAAUACCCCGCUGUUCUGACGGUACCCAAAGAAUAAGCACCGGCUAACUUCGUG
rnacentral:rRNA from 1 species